ncrna:unclassified sequences type-P1 twister ribozyme
UUUUUAAACAUGCCAGUAAAUAUUGACACUGUCAGUCCCAACCCUGAUAAAAUGUGAGGGAAAA